rnacentral:lncRNA from 1 species
AAGAAGAAGGGGCCACCGAGACCCCAAGAGAGUCAGGGAGACAGACGCACCAAACGACCGACACAACCAGGGACAGGCUGGAGUGAAAUGACAUGAUCUCAGCUCACUGAAACUUCUGCCUCCCAGGUUCAAGCAAUUCUCCUGCCUCAGCCUCGCGAGUAGCUGGGAUUACAGAUAUCCUUCGAGUUGGAUUUCGACUGGGUUCUGCCAGUGGGAUGUAUCCAUGCGAGAUUCUGGAACUAACAUCAGAGAGAGUCCAAGCUUCUAACUUUUAUCAGCGGCAGUGACAAUAGUCAAGCAGCAUUGAUGACAAACGGCAAGAGUUUAGAAAGUACCAGUGACGUGCCUGAUAGAAUCUCACCACAAGAUGGAAGCCAACUCGUCAGAAGCCUGGAAAGCCCACCCAGCGUGGGACCUCUGUGGGUCCAGGAUCUUGGAAUGGUAUCCCAUGGUUCAAUCUUCUGGAUUCAACCACAUAAAUUUACCCCACCCAUGUCGUGGACCCAAGCUUCCUACCAUGUAUACUUAGCUUAAAUGCAAGAUAGUACUAUUUUGUUCAUCUUGAUUGGAGUGAGAAAUGAAUAGGUCCAUGCACAUAUAUUUCUUUUACCACAACAAGAUGAUGAAGAAAUAAAUCCAUAAUAUCGAUACUUUUGUAUAAGUUGUGUUUACAGUUGCGGUAAGAAAUUUUAUAAUUGUUGAUUUGCUUUAUAUAAUUUCUGCUUGCUUUUUAUGAUAUUUAAAACAAAAUCUAAGCAACAAAUUUUAUGUCUGAUUAGAUUUACAGAAGCUGCUUAAGUGCUUAGGGAUAAUUUGUUCAUCAUAUUUGUAAGUCUCCCUUGUUAGGUGUUUGAAGUGUUUGAAUUGGCUAAAUUAAAUUUGUAAUUGUAGUUUGAAAUAUCUAAAGGAAUUUUCUUAAUUAAGUGUUUAAAUGAUGUUAAAAGUUUGUGGGAAUUUAAUCUAUCAAAUUUAUGAGUUAAUUGAAUAUGAAUCAAUGAACAAGUAAAUGUGAUCUUGCUUUUAUAUAAAAACUACUAAGUUCAUAAAUAAAAUACAAAGAUCCAUAAGUUGAGAGGAAAAGCAAAAGAGCCAGAUUCUAAGAUCUAUAACUUAAAAAAAUUAAAUAUUGAUUGAAAUGUAAGUCAUUGCAAUUAUCCCCACUAGCUGAAAUCUCACAUCUGAGUGCUUACACACAAAACAAAAUGUUACCCUGAACAUACUAAACAAAUAAAAAA